AAGUCGUAACAAGGUUUCCGUAGGUGAACCUGCGGAAGGAUCAUUAUUGAAGUCGCUGAGAGACUUGUUGCUGGCCCUCUGGGGCAUACUGUGCACAGUCUCUCUCACUUUAUCAACCACCUGUGCACCAUUUGUAGUCUUUCCGAUGCUUUCUUCAGUCUUUUUCCGACUGAUGUGGGGACUCUAGCUGUGUGUGUGCGCUGUGCGUUAAGCAAGCGUUACCAGCUUCAGUUCAAUAUCUGACAAGGACUAUCUGUUACAUAUAACUCUGUCAAUGUCUAAGAAUGAAUAUCAUGGUCAUUGAGUUGGCCUUAAUAAAUACAACUUUCAACAACGGAUCUCUUGGCUCUC
rnacentral:misc_RNA from 1 species